rnacentral:misc_RNA from 1 species
GCAUAGAAUGCAGAAUAUUUACUCACAACUUUCUGCUGGAGUAUUUUCUUGUGGCAAAAGGAAUAUUGUUGUUGGGUCAGAUAGCACUAAUGGCUGCAACUUUUUGCUACAGAAUAUUCCUGAUGAGCAGUUAGUAAGUAACAAGAAGGGGGUUGGUCCGUCUGUUGUGCUUACUUCGGCACACACGGCCAUGAAUAUGCCAGCGGCAUGUUGCUGGUCCAUGCCUGCAUUCCAGGGACAGAGGAGUUUUGCAUUUGAAAGGGAGGGCCAGCCGAUGGAUGAUGUAAGGAAGAUUGAACGCAGUUUGCAUAUUGGGGCGGGGCAAGUAAAAUUGCCCAUCCCACCGGAGAAGAAACUGAUGCCUCCGGGGAAAGGUUCGAAUUUUUUUCCAUUAUACAAAAACAAUUCAGACUCACCUGCUUUUGUUCGUAGAAGUGCACGCUUUAUUGCCUUAUCUAAAGAUGGAUCUACUCAUGUAGAUGAGGAUUCUACUUUGAAGGCUAUGAAGAGGGCUUCUCGUCGCAAUCUUGAUGGCGAUUUGAGUGGAUUCAAGCCGGCUGGUCAAGCGCUACGCACGGUGUCCACUUCAUCUCUUCCGAUUGGGCCGUUUCAGUCAGGUAUGGAGCAAGCUUCGGCUGUCACUGCUAUCAAUGAUCUGUCAAAUCUUUCUUGUGCCAGUAAGCUAAAAAAGAUAGGAUUCAUGUUGGGCGAUGAUGAGUUUGCAGUUAAUAGAUCGAUCAAUGGUUUAAAAAAAUGGAAUUGGAUAGGAAGGCUACUAAUUCACACACUACUCUUGAAUCACCCAGCUUGGAAGAGAGCAAUACAGGUAACUCUUGCUCGGUGAGUGAUGAGGAGGUUGAUGAAAUAAACAAUGACCUCUUAACUCACCUACUAAAGGAUGUAGCUGAUGCGAACUUUGACGAUGUAGACCUGGACACAAAAAUUUGUGAUCUUAUGGCAUCUGCAAGACAGUCAAAAAAGCGCCCUAAAAAUCAUAAAAGCCAAUAUGGUGGGGGUAUGUCGAAACAAAAAAUGAA